CAUAAUCCCAGUAUAUCCCAAUAUUCCCUUUACAUAAUCCCAGUAUAUCUCAAUAUCCCCUUUACAUUAUCCCAGUUUAUCCCAGUAUUCCCUUCAUAUUAUCCCAGUAUAACCCUAUAUUCCCUUUACAUAAUCCCAGUAUAUCCCAAUAUCUUCUUUACAUUUUCCCAGUAUAUCCCAAUAUUCCCUUUACAUAAUCCCAGUAUAUCCCAAUAUCCCCUUUACUUUAUCCCAGUAUAAUCCUAUAUUCCCUUUACAUAAUCCCAGUAUAACCCUAUAUUCCCGUUACAUAAUCCCAGUAUAUCCAAUAUCCCCUUUACAUUAUCCCAGUAUAUCCCAAUAUCCCCUUUACAUUAUCCCAUUAUAUCCCAAUAUCCCUUUACAUUAUCCCAGUAUAUCCCUAUAUCCCCUUUACAUUAUCCCAGUAUAUCCCAAUAUUCCCUUCAUAUUAUCCCAGUAUAACCCUAUAUUCCCUUUACAUUAUCCCAGUAUAUCCCAAUAUUCCCUUCACAUUAUCCCAGUAUAAUCCUAUAUUCCCUUUACAUAAUCCCAGUAUAACCCUAUAUUCCCGUUACAUAAUCCCAGUAUAUCCAAUAUCCCCUUUACAUUAUCCCAGUAUAUCCCAAUAUCCCCUUUACAUUAUCCCAGUAUAUCCCAAUAUUCCCUUCAUAUUAUCCCAGUAUAACCCUAUAUUCCCUUUACAUUAUCCCAGUAUAUCCCAAUAUUCCCUUCACAUUAUCCCAGUAUA